UACGUAGGUCCCGAGCGUUGUCCGGAUUUACUGGGUGUAAAGGGAGCGCAGGCGGCCUGGCAAGCCUGAUGUGAAAUACCGGGGCCCAACCCCGGGGCUGCAUUGGGAACUGCCAGGCUGGAGUGCCGGAGAGGCAGGCGGAAUUCCUAGUGUAGCGGUGAAAUGCGUAGAUAUUAGGAAGAACACCAGUGGCGAAGGCGGAUUACUGGACGAUAACUGACGGUGAGGCGCGAAAGCGUGGGGAGCAAACAGG
rnacentral:rRNA from 1 species